rnacentral:lncRNA from 1 species
GGAGAUUCGACCCCUGGAUUCAGAAGAUCCCCUGGAGGAGGAAAUGGCAACCCUCUCCAGUAUCCUUGCCUGAAAAAUUCUUUGGGCAGAGAAGCCUGGCCGGCUGCAGUCCGUGGGGCGGCAGAGUCAGACGUGACUCAGCAACUGAGCACGCAUCUUGAUCUAGAUGUCUGAACACAGGCGAUUAGUCUACACCACUCACAUGCCACCUUCUGUUCUGCACACUCUCUCACUGACACAGACUCUCACACAUUCAGGCACACAUCCCAGGGAUGUUUGCUCAGAGGCUGGCUCUGGCCGCCUGCUGAGUCUCAGGGUGGGGCCCCCUGCACAGGUGUCAGCGUGGGUGGAAAUUUAUUUUCUAAACAAGUGAGAAAAUGACAAAAUGAACAGAAAAACCACAAAAGCGACUCUGUCAGAUCUUGGUUUCCUCCCCCCAAAAUUGUAGUCAGAAGAGGGAGGAAGUGAGUCUGUAAGGUGGUUUAAGGAAUGGUUUGGGAGAGGGAAAUGAAUGGAGAAAAGAAAAAGUAAUAGAAUCACUUGGCCACACUUUCCUCUUUGCACAAAUGAGUCUAGCGGCUGCGAGCUCAGGAAUGCAUCUUCUGAGUUAGCUCACAUUAGGAGACCCAAGAUGCACCUCAGGGGGAGAUAUUUCCUCCUUUCAUCUUACACUGGAAGCAAGAAGAGCUUUGGUUAUCUUUACAACUUCAAGCAAAUAAUCUGUCAUGCGGUAUAUUAUAUAAAUUUCAAAAACAAGCAAUGUAGCCAC